rnacentral:misc_RNA from 1 species
GAUGAAGAACGUAGCGAAAUGCGAAAAGUAGUGUGAAUUGCAGAAUUCAGUGAAUCAUCGAAUCUUUGAACGCACAUUGCGCCCAUUGGUAUUCCAUGGGGCAUGCCUGUUCGAGCGUCAUUUUGUACCCUCAAGCACUGCUUGGUGUUGGGCGUUUGUCCUGCAGAGGACUCGCCUGAAAGCGAUUGGCGGCCAACGUAGUCGUGGCAGAGCGCAGCACAAUCUCGCGUCUCUCCCCUCUGCGUCGGCGUCCAUGAAGCCCACAAUCUCAACGUUUGACCUCGGAUCAGGUAGGGAUACCCGCUGAACUUAAGCAUAUCAAUAAGCGGAGGA